GGAUGUGGCUCAAGUGGUAGCGUGCUCACCUGGCAUGCGUGCGGCCCGAGUUUGAUCCUCAGCACCACAUCCA
rnacentral:tRNA from 1 species